CAACGUCUUGGUCCUAGACCUGCCCUUGUCACCAACUGCCACUACACAUGCCAGUAUCCACAUACCAGUGCCCACGCCCACAACCUUUGCUUUAAGGAAAGGAGCAGGUAUCAGGCACACAAGACACGUAGCCCAAAACACCUAGCCAAUGCCACACCCCCACGGAACUCAGCAGUGAUCAACAUUAGGCCAUAAGCAAAAGCUUGACCUAGGCGCAGCCAACCAAUAACCGAGCCGGUAAACCCCGUGCCAGCCACCGCGGUUACACGUGGGGCUCAUGACAACAAACACCGGCGUAAAGCGUGACUAGAGAUGGGUUUACCAUAAGAGAUUUUAACUAUGCCAUAGUUGUAAAAUACACAUACACAUAGAACCACCAACCAAAUUUCUUACUACUAAACCAGCUUGACCACACGAAAGCUAGGGUACAAACUAGGAUUAGAUACCCUACUAUGCCUAGCCAUAAACCUAGGCAGCAUCACAACCAGCUGCCCGCCCGAGAAUUACAAGCGAAAAGCUUAAAACUCAAAGGACUUGACGGUGCCCCAUAACAACCUAGAGGAGCUUGUCCUAUAAUCGAUACCCCACGAAGUACCUCACCUAUUCUAGCACCUCAGUCUAUAUACCGCCGUCGUCAGUCUACCCUAUAAAGGCCCACCAGUAGACAAAAUUGACUUCCCCAAAAACGUCAGGUCAAGGUGUAACACAAGAAAAGGGAAGAGAUGAGCUACAUUUUCUAAUAGAACUUACCAACCACACCCUGAAAAAGUGCCCAAAGGUGGAUUUAGCAGUAAGCUAAGUAAGACAGCUCAGCUGAAUCAUGCUCUGGGACGCGUACACACCGCCCGUCACCCUCCUCAAUACAAACCAACAACACUAAAUAAACCAACAAACAAAAACAGAUGAGGCAAGUCGUAACAUGGUAAGCGUACUGGAAAGUGCGCUUGGAAUAC
rnacentral:ncRNA from 1 species